CCACGGUACAAAACCAACAAACACAAUGAAUCUCUUCAGCAGCUUCAUCUGGAUUCUGACAGCUUUUAUUCCAGCAGCAUCCAGAGGAAUCACUGUGACUCAGCCUGAAGUUCUGACUGUUUCUGAAGGACAAACCGCUACUAUAGAGUGUAAAACUGAGCCUGGAAUAGAUGGCUGGGGUUUAGCUUGGUAUCAGCAGAAACCUGGAGAAGCUCCUAAACUCAUCAUUUAUGGUGUAAAUGAUCGCUAUGGCAGCAGUUUCAGUCGAUUCAGUGGGAAUGGAGCACGAGGUGGAACUGAUUUCACUCUGAGCAUCAGUGGAGUCCAGACUGAAGAUACUGGACAUUAUUACUGUACGAGUCGACACUCUGUCAGUGGCAACUAUGUGUUCACACAGUGAUAAAGAGUCGUACAAAAACCUCCGUCAGUCAGAGUCACAGAGACUGAACUGAAACACUAUCACUCACUCAACAGAGCAGAAACACAAACAUGAUCUUAAUAUCAAUUAUAUUGAUUAUUAAAAUUAUUUUAAUAUACUAAUUAUUUUUUUUCAGAUCAUUUGUGGUUUAUCUCUUCUAUUCUGAACUCAUUUUUUUAAUCCAUGAUAUUUAUGAUAAAUGUCUUUCUAAUUAUACAUUCUUAUUCUGAAAAGAAUCAGCGGGACAUAAAGAUGUUGUUGCCGAAUAGUUUAUUCAUCAUCUUCCAGUCAAAAAUCUCCAUCCUUGUACAGUUAAUUAAUAGUUGUUUAUGUCUUAUAAAACUACCGCUCAAACGUCAUAACUGUCUCAUGACUCCAUCAGCAGAAGUGAAACUGAUCGAGUUCAGAGAGUUUAACCGAUCAAACAGUGAAACUGUGUUUCUGAGUUUUGAAUUUUCAUGGAUAUUAAAUGAAAUAUAAAGCAUUCAUUCAGUUUUCCACUUGAUACAGUAAAUGUUAAUCUAACACACUUUAUCUUCACUUUAUCUUCAACACAAUAUCGAUUUAUCUAACACUAUAUUUGUGAGCU